UGCCCUCUAUUUUAGUUUCCUUUGCCAUGU
rnacentral:piRNA from 1 species